rnacentral:rRNA from 1 species
UCAUGGCUCAGAGCGAACGCUGGCGGCAGGCCUAACACAUGCAAGUCGAACGGAUCCUUCGGGAUUAGUGGCGGACGGGUGAGUAACACGUGGGAACGUGCCUUUUGGUUCGGAACAACUCAGGGAAACUUGAGCUAAUACCGGAUAAGCCUUUCGAGGGAAAGAUUUAUCGCCAUUAGAGCGGCCCGCGUAGGAUUAGCUAGUUGGUGGGGUAAAGGCCCACCAAGGCUACGAUCCUUAGCUGGUCUGAGAGGAUGAUCAGCCACAUUGGGACUGAGACACGGCCCAAACUCCUACGGGAGGCAGCAGUGGGGAAUCUUGCGCAAUGGGCGAAAGCCUGACGCAGCCAUGCCGCGUGAAUGAUGAAGGUCUUAGGAUUGUAAAAUUCUUUCACCGGGGACGAUAAUGACGGUACCCGGAGAAGAAGCCCCGGCUAACUUCGUGCCAGCAGCCGCGGUAAUACGAAGGGGGCUAGCGUUGCUCGGAAUUACUGGGCGUAAAGGGAGCGUAGGCGGAUAGUUUAGUCAGAGGUGAAAGCCCAGGGCUCAACCUUGGAAUUGCCUUUGAUACUGGCUAUCUUGAGUACGGAAGAGGUAUGUGGAACUCCGAGUGUAGAGGUGAAAUUCGUAGAUAUUCGGAAGAACACCAGUGGCGAAGGCGACAUACUGGUCCGUUACUGACGCUGAGGCUCGAAAGCGUGGGGAGCAAACAGGAUUAGAUACCCUGGUAGUCCACGCUGUAAACGAUGAGUGCUAGUUGUCGGCAGGCAUGCCUGUCGGUGACGCAGCUAACGCAUUAA